rnacentral:rRNA from 1 species
UACGGGGGGGGCAAGCGUUGUUCGGCAUUACUUUUCUUAAAUUUCUCUUAUUUUUCCAACUAAUUCAUACUUUAAAUCCCUCGGCUUAACCGGGGAACUGCAUCUGAUACUGGAUGGCUUGAGUUUGGGAGAGGGACGCGGAAUUCCAGGUGUAGCGGUGAAAUGCGUAGAUAUUGGGAAGAACACCAGUGGCGAAGGCGGUUCUCUGGGACGGUACUGACGCUGAGACGCGAAAGCGUGGGGAGCGAACAGG